rnacentral:rRNA from 1 species
CCUAGUAACGGCGAGUGAAGAGGGAAGAGCUCAAAUUUGAAAGCUGGUACCUUCGGUAUCCGCGUUGUAACCUCGAGACACGUUUUCCGUGCGGCGCUAUGGACAAGUUCCUUGGAACAGGACAUCGUAGAGGGUGAAAAUCCCGUACUUGCCAUGGAUGUACCGUGCUUUGCGAUACGUGCUCUAAGAGUCGAGUUGUUUGGGAUUGCAGCUCAAAAUGGGUGGUAGACUCCAUCUAAAGCUAAAUAUCGGGGAGAGACCGAUAGCGAACAAGUACCGUGAGGGAAAGAUGAAAAGCACUUUGGAAAGAGAGUUAAAAGUACGUGAAAUUGUCGAAAGGGAAGCGCUUGAAGUCAGCCAUGCCGCUCAGGACUCAGCCUGGCUUUUGCUUGGUGUAUUUCCUGGGUAGCAAGUCAGCAUUGGUUUGGAUCGUCGGAGAAGCAUAGUCGGAAUGUGGCGCCCUCGGGCGUGUUAUAGCCUUCUAUUGGAUACGACGAUCUAGACCAAGGAACGCAGCGCGCCUUAUGGCGGGUCUUCGGACACCUUCGCGCUUAG